CACGUAGGCACCAAGCGUUGUCCGGAUUUAUUGGGCGUAAAGAGCUCGUAGGCGGUUUGUUGCGUCGGAAGUGAAAACUCAGGGCUUAACCCUGAGCCUGCUUCCGAUACGGGCAGACUAGAGGUAUGCAGGGGAGAACGGAAUUCCUGGUGUAGCGGUGAAAUGCGCAGAUAUCAGGAGGAACACCGGUGGCGAAGGCGGUUCUCUGGGCAUUACCUGACGCUGAGGAGCGAAAGUGUGGGGAGCGAACAGG
rnacentral:rRNA from 1 species